GGAGACGUGGCCGAGCGGCUGAAGGCGGCGGUUUGCUAAACCGUUAUAGGUGUUACAACCUAUCGGAGGUUCGAAUCCUCUCGUCUCCGCCA
rnacentral:tRNA from 1 species